UGUAAAACGGUGGCGCACACCCGAUCGGGGUCGUGCUCACUUCCGCCAGCCCCCGCACAACCCCUCCCGGUGGGGAGGGGGGAGACAUUCAGCCCAAUGUUUCAGGUCUUCGCCCUUUCAUCAGGAUUGUGAAAAGGCUUGGCUGUCGGAGGCCGUGCAGGGUGGGGAUGGGAAACAGUGCGUCAGAAGCUCUUGGCUAACUGCUCUAAAAUCUGAAGUGAUGUGGCUGCUUAAUGCUGAAGAACUGCAUGUGUGGAGGCCAAAGAAAUAAAUAAGCGUGGCAGUCAGAGACCCAGUGGCUGCCAGGAUAAACAUGCAGAUGUACAGGAAACCGAGUCUGAGAAGCGAUUCAACGUUAAAUGAUCUGAAGCAAUGGCUAGCCCAUGCCUCACCCAGCUCUCCAGAAUUGCCCAGGAGUCACCAGGAGUGGACAAUUAACUCUCUGGACACCGCUGCAAGCAGCACCCAAGGAGAACAACCAUUGGAGCAUGAAAACAAAUUGUGAUUUAAAAAAAAAAAAAUUCUUUGAACACUCGUUAAUAAUUACCAGAGAUGGAAAUAAAAAGGUUGUCUGAUUGGGAGAGGCAAUUGGAGACGCAAGGUCCUGUGAUUAAACCUCCAGGGACACGUCCAAUGAGAUGAAAGCAAAAUACUGCGGAUGCUGGAAAUCAGAAAUAAAAACAGAAAAU